GCGCCUCCAUUUAUUACAACGCUUCUUAUUUGUCGCUGAAGCGGCAUGUCUUGAACCGUGCCGCAGCUAACGACGCGACAUGACGACGCGACAUAACGACACGACACGAUAUAUCCACACGACAUUAACUCAACACGACACAACUGAACGACGUGACGCAACUACGCGAAACAACGACCACGACAUAACGACGAUAAAGACCCGCAUCAGCAUUAUGAAAGCGUUUGACUCGUUGGGAGCGACUCCCUCUUUCCAACCCCUGUUUUUAUGAGUUUUUUAACGUCCGCCUCUUAAUUGAUCGUCCACGCACAUGGUGUAGGACAACUUCUCCAAAGCCCUCCCCCCCCCACCCCGCUGGGUUGGACUGCUCUCCGCCUGAAGAGGAGCGCACAGCGCGGGAGAAGAGAUGGAGAUGCUGCUCCUCUUCUUCCACCUCUUCGUCCUCUCCUCCGCAAGGGCCGGUCCGGGGAGCGGGAACCCUAACGCAGAGGAGCGGCUGAUCAACUACCUGCUGGCCCCCGAGCGCUACAACAAGAUGAUCCGGCCGGCCGUCAACAAGAGCCAGCAGGUCACCAUCUCCAUCCAGGUGUCCCUCUCGCAGCUCAUCAGCGUGAAUGAGAGAGAGCAGAUAAUGACGACCAAUCUGUGGCUGUUUCAGGAGUGGAAUGACUACAGGCUGAGUUGGGACCCAGAGAAAUAUGAAGGCCUCAAAAAGCUGCGCAUUCCUGCCAAGAUGAUCUGGCUUCCGGAUAUAGUGCUCUACAACAAUGCGGACGGCGUUUACGAGGUCUCCUACUGCAACACGGUGGUCUCCCACACCGGCUACAUCUUCUGGCUGCCCCCCGCCAUCUACAAGUCGGCGUGCGCCAUCCAGGUGCGCGACUUCCCCUUCGACCGGCAGAACUGCACGCUCAAGUUCCGCUCCUGGACCUACGACCGCACGGAGAUGGACCUGGCGCUGAUCAGCGACACGGCCAGCCGCGACGACUUCACGCCCAGCGGCGAGUGGGACAUCGUGUCGCUGCCCGCCCGCAAGAACGAGGACCCCCGCGACGCCGCCUACCUGGACAUCACCUACGACUUCAUCAUCCGGCGCAAGCCGCUGUUCUACACCAUCAACCUCAUCAUCCCCUGCGUGCUCAUCACCUCGCUGGCCAUCCUGGUCUUCUACCUGCCGUCCGACUGCGGCGAGAAGAUCGCGCUGUGCAUCUCCGUGCUGCUGGCGCUCACUGUGUUCCUGCUGCUCAUCUCCAAGAUCGUGCCGCCCACCUCGCUGGCCGUGCCGCUCGUAGGUAAGUACCUGAUGUUCGCCAUGGUGCUGGUGACCUUCUCCAUCGUGACCAGCGUGUGUGUGCUCAACGUGCACCACCGCUCCCCCUCCACCCACCACAUGCCCCCCUGGGUGCGCAGCGUCUUCCUGGUGCGGCUUCCCGCCUUCCUGCUCAUGCGGCGCCCGGGCAACUCCAGCGGCCGCCAGAGGCUCCGCCGCAAGUACGCCCACAAGUUCCCCCUGGAGGGGGGCCGGGACCCGCCCCCGGAGCUCCGGCUGGGCCUGGGGUUCGGGGGGGCCGGAGACGGCGACGCCUGCUUCGCCAACGAGGAGGCGGCGCGGCGGUACGGCUGGAGGUCGGGGGGGGUCCCGGCCGUUGGGGGCGGGGCCGGGGCGGGGGAGGGCGGGGCCGAGGGCGGGGCCGAGGGCGGGGCGGCGACGAGGUGGGACGCGUACCUGGAGGAGGCGGUGGACGGCGUGAAGUUCAUCGCCCGGCACAUGAAGACGGAGGACGAAGACGAAGGGAUCAUCGAGGACUGGAAGUACGUUGCCAUGGUGAUCGACCGGCUGUUCCUGUGGAUCUUCAUCCUGGUGUGUGUGGUCGGAACGCUGGGGCUGUUUGUUCAGCCGCUGUUCCAGAGCUACAACACGCCCAGCGCCGGGGACCAAGAGUAGGCCACGCACACGCGUGCACGCACCGUGCACGCACACACGCACCCCGCACACAGGUUGGGGAUUUCUGAAAGCCCCUGGGAUACGGAAAGGUAACCCUGUAGCCGCCGAUCUGUUGCUGGUGUAGAAACUUUGGAGAGGCGCGUGCCGAAGCAGCACGACGCCUGGAGCGGACUCGUCAUAUCUCCGCUGUGCCAUAAACUAUACGAGGCAUUAAAGUCACUAUUCUCAUUACUGCUACACAUUACCCCUGGACUGGCCAUUACAGGACAUCAGAGUGACAGUUCACUCCCUUUGUCCCAAACUGUCCCCUUAGAUGUUAAUAUUUACCAUCUGGCUUCACAUUGUUGUGUUUGUUUGAGAUAUUCUUCAAAAUGUUCCUUUCCCGGUCUCUUUGUAUCGGUUGGCCCAUCUGUCUUGCCUUCUACUGGAGUCAGAUUAGAUCGUUGUGUAUAUUUAUCUCUCUGUUUGUCGCUCCGUUUUAGGGCGUGUUGACCCAAGAAGUGAUGAUAGUUGUAUGAUGUUGUUUUGUAUAUUCCUUAACCAGGGUUAUUCGUUUUUUAAUAUAUACAUAUGCAUGUUUCCUGAGUAUACACUUCUGGGAACAGAACAACUCCACAAAAACAUUAUUAUAAGGUUUACUUUAAUAUCAAUUGAUCUAGCUGAUUUCCUAACUACUUUUAAUGAUGUUUGUUAAGGUCCAACAUGUUUCUAUCUUGAUUAACUGCCUUAAAUACAAUAAACGUUGAACAAUUAUGGAAACGCAUUGCAGCUCUGUCUGGCCUAAUAAAAGAAAUGCACACUUA